rnacentral:rRNA from 1 species
AGUGAACGCUGGCGGUAGGCCUAACACAUGCAAGUCGAACGGCAGCACAGGAGAGCUUGCUCUCUGGGUGGCGAGUGGCGGACGGGUGAGGAAUACAUCGGAAUCUACUCUGUCGUGGGGGAUAACGUAGGGAAACUUACGCUAAUACCGCAUACGACCUACGGGUGAAAGCAGGGGACCUUCGGGCCUUGCGCGAAUGAAUGAGCCGAUGUCGGAUUAGCUAGUUGGCGGGGUAAAGGCACACCAAGGCGACGAUCCGUAGCUGGUCUGAGAGGAUGAUCAGACACACGGGAACUGAGACACGGUCCAGACUCCUACGGGAGGCAGCAGUGGGGAAUAUUGGACAAUGGGCGCAAGCCUGAUCCAGCCAUACCGCGUGGGUGAAGAAGGCCUUCGGGUUGUAAAGCCCUUUUGUUGGGAAAGAAAUCCAGCUGGCUAAUACCCGGUUGGGAUGACGGUACCCAAAGAAUAAGCACCGGCUAACUUCGUGCCAGCCGCCGCCGUAA